rnacentral:lncRNA from 1 species
UUCUUCUACUUCUCCUCUUCUUCUAUUUUUCCUCUUCUUCUCCUCUCCUCCUCUUAUUAUUCUCCUUUUUCUUCUUUUCUUCUCCUCCUCUUCUUAUUUUCCUUUUCCCUAAUUCUACAUAUUACUAACCCUAAUAAUCUAGCACAAACCUAAUAACAAUAGGAAUUAAAUGACAAAAAAAUCUUUUUCUUCUUUUCUUCUCCUUUUUCUUCCUUUCUUCUCCUUUUUCUUCCUUUCUUC